rnacentral:ncRNA from 1 species
GCAUUGUUGCUUCGUAUAACCCCACUGAUAGGGUGUGGGGGUCUCUACCAGAAUCCGUAAAAUUCUGAUUACGAAGAGUUA